rnacentral:rRNA from 1 species
UACGUAGGUGGCAAGCGUUGUCCGGAUUUAUUGGGCGUAAAGCGCGCGCAGGCGGAUCCUUAAGUCUGGUGUGAAAGCCCCCGGCUCAACCGGGGAGGGGCAUUGGAAACUGGGGAACUUGAGUGCAGAAGAGGAGAGUGGAAUUCCAUGUGUAGAGGUGAAAUGCGUAGAUAUAUGGAGGAACACCAGUGGCGAAGGCGACUCUCUGGUCUGUAACUGACGCUGAGGCUCGAAAGCGUGGGUAGCAAACAGG